UAAAGUCACACUGAAGUAAGACACUAUCAUACUUCAAUAGACAUUUUUAGAAUGUUAAAUGCAGGUAAAUCUUAAACCAUGCUGUUCAUUGUAUUAUAUUUUAAGUGCCGGAGAUAAAAUGAAGAGCUCUCUCAGAUUUAAUCAUUAGAAAAUACAAUAGCAAGUACAGUAAAAAAGAAUCACAUUCUUGUUUUUUUCAGAUGACACUGCAUCUCUUUCAAGUGUGAGAACAGCCAAUUCCCAGAAGCUAGCAGAAAUUAAUAUUAUCUGUUCAUAGCUAUACCCUCUUCCUUAUAAGCAACUCCCACAAAUGAAACAGCUGUGCGGGAUGGCCUCCAUUCUACCAAUCCACAACCCCAGAUAUCUAUAACUAUCACCCCUUACCAAAGAGGCUUCUGUGUCCAGCAAAUGAAGAUGACAACUGAACACAAUGCCAAGAUCAAGAGAUGAGGGGAAUCCCAGACUCAAGUGAUACACCACAGCCCCUGCCUCUGUGGUUCAAAGAGGAGCACAGAGGAGGCAGCAGAAUGAUUGGAAAUAAGUAAGGAAAAAUUGUAGAGAAGAAAAAUGAAGGAAAGUAAACACUCAUGGCACCAUGAGCUCUCCACAUAGAAUCUACAUGAAUCUACCAGGCAAUGUCUGUAUUUGCUGAGGAUAAAAAGAGAACAAGUAUGUCAGCUUGACUCAAGAAAAUUACCCAUCUUCACAAGAUUGUUCUUUCAGUACAAUUCAACUCACUGUGUGCAAUUGCUUCCUACUGAGUCCAUCUCCAGCUUUCAUCUUUGCUCUGAAGACCUUUGACUUCAGAAGGUACUGUGAAGAAACAUCACAAAGGCUCCAAAAGUUACAGAUGUAUGUAUCCUGUACUUACAAUGAAAUGUACUAGUGAUUUUGUUGUCAAUGUCAGACUCAUCUGUGAUGUGGGAAUAAAAUAAAAAGAAUCCACACACAGUAAACUACAGGAAAUAUUUUCACUCAGUAAAUUUCUGUUACUUUUCCCAGUUCCUACAGAAUAAUUAAACCAGUGUAGGAAAUAUAUAU
rnacentral:sRNA from 1 species